rnacentral:lncRNA from 1 species
AGGCAGAGAGGGAGAAAUAACAAGAAUGGAAGAGUCGUUCUUCCAAAAAGGGCCAUCUGUGACCCUGAGAGAUAAACCUGGCAGACCAGGGCUCACAUCUUAGUAAAUCACCUGUAAAUAAAGCUUGCAAGGGCAGUGACUGGAAGCUGGGAGAGAGGGUCAACAGCUGAAUCUCAGCCUGAUGGAGGCCACCAUUUAAUAAGUAAAUACAUGCACGGCUAUUUAGAUCCUGCAUCAGACAGGUCAUCAGAAAACAUGAAGCUAAAUGCAGUAAAGAAUUACUCUCUUGAACUCUUGAAAAUAUCAAAAACAUGAAGCUAAAUGCAGUAAAGAAUUAGUCUCUUGAACUCUUGAAAAUAUCAUUUUCUUAUAGAAAUGGUUUAAAAAUUUCUUUUUUAUUAUUUCUAAUUUUCCUUCAGAAAAUUGUGAGUUUUAACCUACAACACAUACACUCCAAGGUAAUGCCACUCUAAUGCUGUCUAGUUGAUCUGAAUAACUAACUGGUCAAUUAUCAGAUCCACCAAACUGUCUCUCUGGAGAUUAACUUCUGCCAGCAUAUUGGUUUCUGUUCAUUUUCACAAGAUUGACAGGCUCAUUACAGCAAUAUUAACAUCUUCCUUUGAGCACUCACACUGUGCAAUUGUAAUUUUGCAUAUGUUGAUGAGCAGGCAAUUACAUCAAAGAGUGAACACUGGGCUGAUGUGCAAGGCACUAUUUAAUUAUAAAAACAGUAUAGGAUUGAGCCCUGUCACUGAGUCUUCCAUUCCUUCUAUCUCGCCUGUUUCUAAUUUAUUUCUCUAUUUCUUCAUUUCUUCCUUGACUGUCUUCAUUCUUUGCUUUUUAUUUCUUUCUCCUUAAAUGACAGACCUUUUCUUAGAUGCCAUUUCUCUAUGUCUGCGCUUAAGACAAGAAUUUUUUUCCUCCUAGUUGUUGGUUAAUGUCUGCAAAUGUGAGAGCAUGUUAACAUGACAAACAACAAGGAAUUUGAAA